GAUGAACGCUGACAGAAUGCUUAACACAUGCAAGUCGAGGGGCAGCAUGGUCUUAGCUUGCUAAGGCUGAUGGCGACCGGCGUAAGGGUGCGUAACGCGUAUGUAACUUGCCUUUGAGAGGGGGAUAACCCGGAGAAAUCCGGCCUAAUACCGCGUAUUCUCAAGUUGCUGCAUGGCAGUUUGAGGAAAGAUUUAUUGCUCAGAGAUAGGCAUGCGUUCCAUUAGGUAGUUGGUGAGGUAACGGCUCACCAAGCCGACGAUCUUUAGCUGGUCUGAGAGGAUGAUCAGCCACACUGGGACUGAGACACGGCCCAG
rnacentral:rRNA from 1 species